AAACUGCGAAUGGCUCAUUAAAUCAGUUAUCGUUUAUUUGAUAGUACCUUACUACUUGGAUAACCGUGGUAAUUCUAGAGCUAAUACAUGCUGAAAACCCCAACUUCGGGAGGGGUGUAUUUAUUAGAUAAAAAACCAACGCCCUUCGGGGCUUCUUGGUGAUUCAUGAUAACUUCACGGAUCGCAUGGCCUUGCGCCGGCGACGGUUCAUUCAAAUUUCUGCCCUAUCAACUUUCGAUGGUAAGGUAUUGGCUUACCAUGGUUUCAACGGGUAACGGGGAAUUAGGGUUCGAUUCCGGAGAGGGAGCCUGAGAAACGGCUACCACAUCCAAGGAAGGCAGCAGGCGCGCAAAUUACCCAAUCCCGACACGGGGAGGUAGUGACAAUAAAUACUGAUACAGGGCUCUUUUGGGUCUUGUAAUUGGAAUGAGUACAAUUUAAACCUCUUAACGAGGAACAAUUGGAGGGCAAGUCUGGUGCCAGCAGCCGCGGUAAUUCCAGCUCCAAUAGCGUAUAUUAAAGUUGUUGCAGUUAAAAAGCUCGUAGUUGAAACUUGGGCCUGGCUGGCAGGUCCGCCUCACCGCGUGUACUUGUCCGGCCGGGCCUUUCCUUCUGGAGAACCUCAUGCCCUUCACUGGGUGUGCUGGGGAACCAGGACUUUUACUUUGAAAAAAUUAGAGUGUUCAAAGCAGGCCUUUGCUCGAAUACGUUAGCAUGGAAUAAUAGAAUAGGACGUGCGGUCCUAUUUUGUUGGUUUCUAGGACCGCCGUAAUGAUUAAUAGGGACAGUCGGGGGCAUCAGUAUUCAAUUGUCAGAGGUGAAAUUCUUGGAUUUAUUGAAGACUAACUACUGCGAAAGCAUUUGCCAAGGAUGUUUUCAUUAAUCAGUGAACGAAAGUUAGGGGAUCGAAGACGAUCAGAUACCGUCGUAGUCUUAACCGUAAACUAUGCCGACUAGGGAUCGGGCGAUGUUCUUUUUCUGACUCGCUCGGCACCUUACGAGAAAUCAAA
rnacentral:rRNA from 1 species